GGGGGAAGGGAAAGUUGAGACGCAACAAUUCAAACUCAAACCCCGCAUACAAUGCCACCUUAACGAGACGAAUUUUGUCAUUAGAACAGCCUUUGUGGAAAAUUUCUUCUCAUAAUUUCCGGUGGCCGUUCUGCUCAAAUUUGAAGGAGGGAGGCCCCUGCAACUGCACGGCUCAAAGUCUGCACGUCAACUGCUGGCGUCUUUCACUUCACGAACUUCCUGCCACGCAAACAAUCCCGUUCGACACUGCAUUUCUAGAUCUGAGUUCCAACAAACUCCAGGCAAUUCAUCGCCAUUCGUUUCUAGGGCUAAGUCGCCUUGUUCAAUUGUACAUAGAAUGUAACAGAAUUUCCGUUCAAAUAAUAAACAUUUUAUGUCGACAAUACUUGGCAAACUUGAUUAAUUGUGUUGAUAAACAUUGGUCAAUUGUUUUCCAAGUCCCAUUUAUUUAUGUAUACGAAAUGAAUAAAGUUCUAAAAGUAAUCAACUAUUUUCUAUCGCAUCCACUAAGAAUUUUACCUUUUUCGCAACAUAUUUAGUUUCUUGAGGGGAAACCAAAUUCGCGAUAAAAAUGUCAGACUUGGUCAUGCUACUGGUGAAAGAGUUUAUAUUUGCUUCGUUGGCAGUCAUAACUAUGAAAUUGACCUCGUUCCUGGCUGCGAUUAAUUAUUCGACUGACCUGGCUACUAACCCAAACCAAAUUGGAGAUCAG